AUGCAAUAGACUAAAUCUCAAAUUGUAAAUGUGUACCUAUUGUUUAAAUAAUUUUAAGUACGCCUUUAAUAAAUUGAGAUCGGGACCAUUUCC